rnacentral:rRNA from 1 species
AACGAACGCUGGCGGCGUGCUUAACACAUGCAAGUCGAACGGAAAGGCCCUGCUUUUGUGGGGUGCUCGAGUGGCGAACGGGUGAGUAACACGUGGGUAACCUGCCCGUGACUUUGGGAUAACUUCCGGAAACUGGGGCUAAUACCCGAUCGGAGCUCCUGCGGCAUGGUGGGGGCUGGAAAGUUUCGGCGGUUGGGGUUGGACUCGCGGGUUAUCAGCUUGGUGGUGGGGUAGUGGCAUACGAAGGCCGUGACGGGUAGCCCGCCUGAGAGGGGGACCGGGGACAUUGGUACUGAGGUACGGAGCAGACGCGUACGGUAGGCAGCAGGGGGGAAUCUGGCACAACGGGCGGAAGCGUGAUGCAGCAACGCUGCGUGCGGGAAGACGGCCUGUGGGGAGUAAACCGCUUGCGCCUGAGACGAAGCGUGAGUGACGGUAACGGGUAAAGAAGCACCGGCUAACUACGUG